rnacentral:rRNA from 1 species
AAACCAGCACCUCAAGUGGUCAGGAUGAUUAUUGGGCCUAAAGCAUCCGUAGCCGGCUCUGUAAGUUUUCGGUUAAAUCUAUAUGCUCAACAUAUAGGCUGCCGGGAAUACUGCACAGCUAGGGAGUGGGAGAGGUAGACGGUACUCGGUAGGAAGGGGUAAAAUCCUUUGAUCUAUUGAUGACCACCUGUGGCGAAGGCGGUCUACUAGAACACGUUCGACGGUGAGGGAUGAAAGCUAGGGGAGCAAACCGGAUUAGAAACCCGGGUAGUCC